rnacentral:lncRNA from 1 species
GGGCACAAUAUUUAAUUUCUCGCCUUUUUAAAGCUUAAUAGUGGAUAAUAGGGGGCAGUAUCAAGGGAUAAUUUGGGUCCCCACAGUACCAAAGCAUUUAGAAACCUCUGUUUAAUUUAAGGAAUGAGAUAAAUUACUGCUUUUCUAGACUUCCUAGCAUGGGCUGUUGUGCUGGAGAGAACGAGAGCUACGAAGAGACUACAAUGCCUCUGACUUUUUCAUAGGACAGUUGGCCGAGGAAGACAAACAUAAAGAUGAAGUGCUUAAUUCAAGGUCACACAAUGUCGGGGAUGGACCUCCAGAUUUCCUUACUGACCUGCAUUAUCUUGUGGAUACCUGAGUGAAUUCCACACCACCCAUUUUAUAGAUGAAACCACUGAGACAUGGAGCAACUGACUGAGUAGUCACUGCCCCACCCCUGCCUGGAGCCUCACACAUGACUCGUCUCCUCUCAGUGACCACAGGUUGGUUGAGGGGUUUAACAAGGCUAAGAAGGUGAGACGUGGUCUUGUAACACAGUGGUUAAGAAUGUGACUUUGGAGCCAGCCUGCUAGGGGCUGAAUUCUGACUCAGCCAUUUACUAACUGUGUGACCUUAGAUAAAGGAAACUGAGGCCCAGAGAAGUCAAAUACUUUGAGAUCUCUGUAGGCCCCUACUGUGCUGGCUGUGCAUAGAUUCCAUACCUCCUGCUGUUGCUGUUGUUGGGUCUCCACCUUUACCAUGGCCAUCACCUCCUGACAGUGCUGGAGCUGAGCUG